GUAGUCGGUGCGCAUAGGCAAGGUUGCCUAAUGCUUGACCUAAUUGGAACGCUGUAGAGGCGUAGAGCGCUCGAGUAUAGUUACGCGUAAAGUGCGGUUUCGAUUCAGCCGGUUGAGUGCAUUGGCAGUAGCACUUUAGCAGGGCUAAGUGUGAAGCGGGCCAUGGAUCACUCGUGGGGCUGGUGGCUCGCACUAGGUGCCUAGGAGCCG
rnacentral:lncRNA from 1 species